UACAGAGGUCUCAAGCGUUGUUCGGAUUCAUUGGGCGUAAAGGGUGCGUAGGCGGCGCGGUAAGUCGGGUGUGAAAUCUUGGAGCUUAACUCCGAAACUGCAUUCGAUACUGCCGUGCUUGAGGACUGGAGAGGAGACUGGAAUUUACGGUGUAGCGGUGAAAUGCGUAGAUAUCGGAAGGAAGACCAGUGGCGAAGGCGGGUCUCUGGACAGUUCCUGACGCUGAAGCACGAAGGCCAGGGGAGCAAACGGG
rnacentral:rRNA from 1 species